UACACCCUUCUAGAUGAAAGUUCUUCGUGCUUUAUUAGUGCCUCUCACAUAGAUAUCUGAUGUCUGAUCAUUUGUGCUGAGAUUUUACUAAUUCUUUUUGCUUCUAAUUGAGGCUUCCUCCUAUCCUAGAGGAAGGCUAGGGGACAUAGCAUGACUAACAAGCUGAUCCACUGGGUUUUCUGUAUUCAUGAGGCUCCACUUCCAUAAAGAGAAACUGGAAAUCCUUUUCACCAGGGAAUAAUAUGCAAGGCUCAGAGUGGAUGAAGUUUGUGUGCUCUUUUUAAUAAGCACUGCUUUUCUUUCUAUAGACACUCAAGCUCCCCGAAUUAGAGUGCUGCCUGAAGGGACAGCCAUGAAAACCCAAUGGAUAACAUAGUACCAGCUACUUCCAGAUGAUCUUCCAGGACAUCAGGCACAGAUGUAAUACAGACAAAAUUGCCUCUACUAGAAAAGCCAGCUUGUUUUGUGCUUGGCUUUGUGGAGCUUUAGGAAACUGAAAUAAGGGGUUUUAUGGAUAAUUGUUGAGUUUCUGUUUGCUUGCCCUCUGGACUCCCUGCAAGACUGUUGCCUACAGCACGCUCUCCAAUGCUCUUGGUAACCUAGUUUUGAACAAAGUAUGAAACUGGGCUGUGUCCUUAUUGCCUGAAGCCUGUCCCACAGUUCAAAUUCUCCUUGCUUGGCCAGGGCUCAUAGCUGAGAAAUGUUUCAGUUUUGUUCCAUUUUCCUGUUACAGCCCUGUGACUUUUUCUUGAAAAAUACAUAAGGGAGUCUCUGUGUGUGACUGUCUGUCCCCUCUGAGCAUUUAACAAGAUUGCACAGUAAGCCUGAGACUUGGAAGUGUGGAUUGAGUAAAAA